rnacentral:rRNA from 1 species
AGCUUGCUCCUUUGACGUUAGCGGCGGACGGGUGAGUAACACGUGGAUAACCUACCUAUAAGACUGGGAUAACUUCGGGAAACCGGAGCUAAUACCGGAUAACAUAUUGAACCGCAUGGUUCAAUAGUGAAAGGCGGCUUUGCUGUCACUUAUAGAUGGAUCCGCGCCGUAUUAGCUAGUUGGUAAGGUAACGGCUUACCAAGGCAACGAUACGUAGCCGACCUGAGAGGGUGAUCGGCCACACUGGAACUGAGACACGGUCCAGACUCCUACGGGAGGCAGCAGUAGGGAAUCUUCCGCAAUGGGCGAAAGCCUGACGGAGCAACGCCGCGUGAGUGAUGAAGGUCUUCGGAUCGUAAAACUCUGUUAUCAGGGAAGAACAAAUGUGUAAGUAACUGUGCACAUCUUGACGGUACCUGAUCAGAAAGCCACGGCUAACUACGUGCCAGCAGCCGCGGUAAUACGUAGGUGGCAAGCGUUAUCCGGAAUUAUUGGGCGUAAAGCGCGCGUAGGCGGUUUUUUAAGUCUGAUGUGAAAGCCCACGGCUCAACCGUGGAGGGUCAUUGGAAACUGGAAAACUUGAGUGCAGAAGAGGAAAGUG